UCACCCGUUUUUCGGAGGGGGGGAGGGGGGAUUUCUUUGCUUAGCUCCUGCAGACAAUGGGGGCUGCAAAACAGUUUAAUGUGCAGGUGUACACAUUCAACUCGGAGAGACCUACUGUAUUCCACAAAAAACAAGAAAAAUCGGAUUUUCGCGGAAGGUGAGCUUUAAAAAAAUAAUAAUAAUAAAAUAAGACAAAAUACACUGAGGCUAUUUCAUUAAUACUAAUGAAUAAAUAGUAUUAAUACAGUAAUUCUAAUAAAAAAAUAUUCAUAAUAAUGAUGAAAAACUGGCAAAAUUAUUAUAAUCUUUGUUUAAUUUAGUUUUCAGCCUUAAAACUUUGCAGCAACAAACCCGUCUAUUCUCCGUUGCCCUAAAUAAAUCAAUGGCUACUGGUUAACACAAUUUGUCAGCAAUGGAUCUCCUUAAAGUAGAUGGAUCUGAAAGGGUUAAAUAAAUACCUGGACAUGAUUAAACAUGUAGUGACCCUGAAGCUCCAGUGCAAAAAAAUCCUAAACCUAAACCAAUAAAGAGUUAAAUGUGUGAUUUUAGCUUUAUUUAGGCUAAAAUUUGAGCGUCUGUACAUUCGAUUUUUCUUCAGAUCCUGGUGUUUGACUGUAAUAAAGCCUCAGCUCUCCUCUAACUGGGACUGAUCUAAUGGGUUCUGACAUGAUUCAGACCACAAACCAGCAGCCCUGCCCAGUCCCACCAGUACAAACCUUAUUAUGGGGUGUAUUUUAAGACUCUUCAAGUUCUCCAAAUGAAAAUAUGACCUUUCUGAAGUUUUUCCUGGCCUCAGACGUUCAGGACGUUGACUGUGUAGCAGGACUUUACUCGACGCUUUCAGUUCUGCUCUAGUCUGCUCUCUGUUUUCCCAGUUCUCGCCAAACUGUCUGUUCUGUUUAGAGGAACGACUGGAGGUAGAGUCCACUCUGAAACAUGAAGGAUCCCACAGUGAUUCCAUGGAGAAUAGAAGAAGAUCCACCUUUCUGUCUCUGGUUCUUUAAAGCAGUGUUUGAACUCUUUGAUCUAACCCUUUGAUCUUUGCCUUUUUUCACAUAUUUAAGAACCAUUUUUUUUUUGGGGGGGGACAUUAUGUAUAAUGUAUAACGUAUGAAGGUUCUAUACAGCCAAGAACCAUUGAAAAACCAAUGGACUAUACAGCUCUGAAAAAAAUAAGAGACUUAUCACUUAAAAAUUAUGACUUUCUUUGAUUUUACCAAAUUAAAAAACUCUGGAAUAUAAUCAAGAGGAAGAUGGAUGAUCACAAACCAUCAAACCACCAAACUGAACUGCACUGUUGUACAUUUUUGCAACAGGAGUGUAAAGGCAUAAAGUUAUCCAAAAGCAGUGUGUAAGACUGGUGGAGGAGAAGAACAUGAUGCCAAGAUUCAUAAAAAAAAAACUGUGAUUAAAAACCAUCAUUCCACCAAAUAUUCUGAUUUCUGAACUCUUAAAACUUUAUGAAUAUUAACUGUGCAUCCAUUUUCCAUUUUCUGUAAAUAAAUGCUCUAAAUGAGAAUAUUUUUAUUUGGAAUUUGGGAGAAAUGUUGUCUGUAGUUUAUAGAAUAAAACAACAAUGUUCAUUUUACUCAAACAUAAACCUAUAAAUAGCAAAAUCAGAGAAACUGAUUCAAAAAAUGAAGUGAUCUCUUCAUUAUUUUCUAGAGCUGUAUGUUCUUUUUUUAAUGGGAAAUCUCCAUUUAAUUUGCUGUGUAGACCAAGAAUGGGAUUAUAAUCCAUUUCUGUGGAAACUUCAGCUUUUUGUUCAAGGGUUUAAGAGUGUAGUUUGUGGAAUUGAACCUGGUUUUAAUGUAUUUUACCAUGUUGUUUACCAUUUUCUGCCCUUUACAGGACAUAAACAUGCUGUGUGCAUCUGCACAUCUAUAUCAGCAAUUGGUGCAACUAAAACUUUGGCCAUAUAUUGUUUCUGUCAAUAACAUCAAGUUAUUAAUCCCCAAAACCUCGUUCUGUAAAAUUCUCCAUCCAGUCUUGCUUUAUUUCAUUGGUUUAUGUUUAAAUAACAUUUAAAUGUUUAUAUUUUUGAAGAAGAGAAAGUCUCUUCCACAUCUGUCGUUUCUCCUUGAGCGUUCUCAAACACAUCAGCAAGUGACAGAUCUCACCGAGCGUGUUCAGCUAAAAGCACAUUAAAACCAGCCGUGAUUAACUGAUUUUAUCUGCCACUGGUGCAAGAUUGUUUUCAGCUAAACUGCAUUUUUAUUCUAAAUCAAAUGUUGGCUUUGAUUGGUUUCGAGGUUUGGCUUUGAUUGGUCUUAAACCUUGGUCACAAUUGAUCAUGCAGUUUGACCUUGAUUGGUCUUGAAGUUGGUUUUUGAUUGGUCUUGGAGCUUGGCCUUGGUUGAUCUUGAUAUUUGGCUUUGAUUUGUCUUGAAAUAUAGUUUUGAUUUGUCUUGAAGUUUGGCUUUGGUUGAUUUUUAAAAUUUGGUUUUAAUUGUACUAAAAUUUGGUUUUGAUUGGUCUUGAGCCUUGGUCACAUCAUGUAGAUUGACCUUAAUUGGUCUUGGAGUUUGGCCUUGGUUGAUCUUGAUAUUUGGAUUUAUUUGGUCUUAAAAUUUAGUUUUGACUGGUCUAGAAGUUUGGCCUUGGUUAGUCUUAAAGUUUGGCUUUAUUUGAUCUUAAAUUUUGGUCAUGAAGAUUGACUUUGAUUGAUCUUUAAUUUUGGCUUUGAUUGGUCCCGAGCCUUGGUAACGAUUAAUCAUGUAGAUUGAUCUUGAUUGGUCUUGAAGUUUUGCUUUAAUUGGUUUUGAACCUUGGUCACAAUUGAUUAUGAGGAUUGACAUUGAUUUGUCUUGAAAUUUGGCCUUGAGUUAUCCUGAUAUUUGGCUUUGAUUGGACUUGAAAUUUUGUUUUGAUUGGUCUAGAAGUUUGGUCUUGGAUUGCCUAGAAGUUGGGCUUGAUUGGUCUUAAAGUUUGGCUUUGUUGGUCUUAAAGUUUGUCUUGUUUGAUCUUGAAAUUUGGCCUUGACUUGAAUUUUAGUUCUGAUUGGUCUAGAGGUUUGGCUUUGAUUGGCCCUAAACCUAGGUCACAAUUGAUCAAGUAGAUUGACCUUGAUUAGUCUUGAAAUUUGGCUUUGAUUGAUCUUGAAGUUUGACCUUGAUUGGUUUUGAAAAUUGCCCUUGGUUCUUCUUGACGUUUAGCUUUGAUUGGUCCUUAAAUUUAGUUUUGAUUCGUCUUUAAAUUUAGUUUUGAUUGGUCUUCAAAUUUAGUUUUGAUUGGUCUUUAAAUUUAGUUUUGAUUGGUUUAGAAGUUUGGUCUUGAUUGUUCUAUAAAUUUGGCUUUAAUUGGUCUUAAACCUUGGUCACAAUUGAUCAUGUAGAUUGACCUUGAUUGGCCUUGAAGUUUGGCUUUGGUUGCUCUUGAAGUUUGUUUUUGAUUGGUCUAGAAGUUUGACAUUGGUUCUUUUUGAAGUUUGUCCUUAUUUGGUCUUGAAGUUUGGUCUUGAUUGACCUUGAAAUUUGGCUUUGAUUGGUCUUGAAAUUAUGUUUUGAUUGGUCUUAAAGUUUGGUCUUGGUUGACCUUGAAAUUUGACUUUGAUUGGUAUUAAAAUUUAGCUUUAUUUGGUCUUAAAUCUUGGUCAUAAAGAUUGACUUUGAUUUGGCUUGAAAUUUGGCUUUGAUUGGUCUUGAAGUUUGGCUUUGAUUGAUCUUGACAUUUUUAAUUGGUCUAGAAGUUUGGCAUUAAUUGGUCUUGAGCCUUGAUUACAAUUGAUCAUGAUUAUUGACCCCAACUGGUCAGAAGUUUAGUCUUGAUUGAUUUUUAAGUUUGGCUUUGAUUGGUCUUGAGGUUUGACUUUGAUUGGUCUUGAACUUGGGUCAUAAUUGAUCAUGUAGAUUGAGCACAACUGGUUAAUGUUUGGCCUUGAUUGGUUUUGAUUUUAUCUUUCGUUGGUCUUAAAGUUUAGCGUUUGCCAGCCUAAUGUUACUUGGCCCUGAUGAGUCAUGGAGUUAACGCUGAUUGGACAUGAACCUUGGCCAUGAUUAAUCUUGAUGUUUGGUCUUAAUUGGUCAGAAUCUCAGCAUUGAUUGCCCAGAAAUUCAGAUAUGAUUGGUUUAAACAUUGUUGGCAUACAUUAGUCUGAUGCUUGGCCUUGACUGAUCUUGAAACUUGGCACGGGGCUGGUGUGGAAAUCUUGGCCCUGAUUGAUCUUGAAGCUUAGCAAUAAUUGGUCUUGAAGUUUAGCCUUGAUUGAUCUUGAGGCUUGGUCCUGAUUGGUGAGAAGAUUGACCCCAGUUUGUGAGGUGUUUGGCUGGUUGGGUUGAUGCUUGGUCUUGACUGAUGUUGACUGUUGGUCUUUAUUUGCCUUUAAUUGAUUUUGAAACUUGGCCCUGAUUAAUAAGAAGCAUUGUCCUAAUUGGUCUUAAAGCUUGGUCUUGAUUGGUUCUAAAGAUUUGGUUUGAUUAGUAUUGAAUUGUGGCCUUAUUGCUUAGAGAUUUAGACUGAAUUGGUUAAAAUUUGGUCCUGAUAUAUCUUGUCCCCAAUUGGGAUUGGGCUUGGUCUUGAUUGGUCAGAAAUUUGAACAUUUAAGAGCCAUAAUCCAGAACCAAGUCACUAUAUUUAUUGAGUUAUGUUAAUUAAAUGUAAAGCUAUCUGGGUAAAUUCUGAUUUGUGAGACAGACCCAACUGCGUUUUCCCAUAAAACAUAUCUAAAGUAUUUUCCCUUCACUUUUUUAGAUUAAUUAUAUAUAUUUUUAUGUUUUAAUCAGAACAGUUUCAGUAUUAUAAUUCAGUAUUAUACGUUUCUGCUCACCAUGAUUCAGUGUUUUUUGUCUGCUGCUUUUGGAACGUCCAUGUCUUAGAAGAAGACUUUUAUUAUAGAGAAAAUUUAACGUCAUGAUGUUUACAAAAAUAUAUACAUAAAAUACCAUUCUAAUGAUGAGCUAAAUGAAGCUUUUGUGUUUUGGAGGGAUAUUAUUAUUAUUAUUAUUAUUAUUAUUAUAUUUAACGUGUUUAUUUUUAGUUUAUGUGCUUUCAUCAUUUAGAGCUAAUUCACUCAGGAGAAUUACUGGGUUACUGUGUGAAACUGCAGAAUAUGGUCAAUUCUAAUUUUUUUUUUAAUAAAUAAAAUAAAAGCGUUGGAGGGUCGGCAAUACUAAAGCUUUUUUUAUUUGUUUUUUUUUUUUUUUUCUAAAUACCAAAUAAAAAACAUUAAUUAAUGUCCAAAAAGUUCUCAGACUGUAGCGAGUCGUUAAAUGUGUUAAAUUUAUGUUUUAUUUAAUGAUUUUUUUUUUCAUUUUAUUUAAUUUUAUACAUUUUAUAACAUUUCAUAAAAUCAGUGUUAACAUUUUAUUUAUCUCCGAUAAAUCCCCCUGUUCUACUUCUUUUUAUUCCUUUCAUUUUUUUUUUGGGCUAUUAUUUAAGUAAAAUACUACUUUAUAAAUACUUAUAAAAGUAUGAGCACCUUAUGUGUCAGUGUUACUUUAAAAUCUACGAAAUUAUUACAAUUUUUUUUUGUUUAAAUGUUUAAUUUUGUAUCAGAUUUAUUGUUAAUUUUAAAUAAACGUUCAUCUCACUGUGGCUGAAUUAAUAUUUAAGUAUUCACUCGUUAUCCAGUAAAAUGAAGGAUUAAAGUCUUUAUUCCCUAAUAAAAAAAACAACAAAAAGUGUAAAUUGGCAGAUAAUCCCAGUAUUAUUUAUCUACCACUAUUGUCUAUAUAUUUUUUUGCCCAAUAAAUGACCCCUAUUUAAUAUAAAUUUAACAUUAUUCUAUUUUCUUGCCCAGAUAUCAUGUAUUAAAUUGUUAUUUCUGUUUUAUGCACAUUUAUAUUCAAUUUCACAUCCAGAGACCAAACAGGAUUAUUUUCACCGGGUUUUUGAAGUGUUGAAAUGGGUUUAAUCUAUAAAGCUAAACACAGUGGGUGCUGUAAAGUUACACCAUCGACUGUCGUUGUUAUUUUGCAUACUUGUAAACUUGUUUUUUUAAGGAGUCAGUAUUGUAUUCAGUGAUUAUUAUGUAUUGUGAAUAAAAAAUAAAUGGAAAUUUAUACAGUGAAA